rfam:Salmo salar isolate Sally breed double haploid chromosome ssa15, whole genome shotgun sequence.
UGGCUCAGUUGGUAGAGCAUGGUGUUUGCAACGCCAGCGCUGUGGGUUCGAUUCCCAC